rnacentral:rRNA from 1 species
GUGCCAGCAGCCGCGGUGAUACGUAGGGUGCGAGCGUUGUCCGGAAUUAUUGGGCGUAAAGAGCUUGUAGGCGGUUGAUUGCGUCAGAAGUGAAAUCUCAGGGCUUAACUCUGAGCGUGCUUCUGAUACGGGUUGACUAGAGGGAAGUAGGGGAGAACGGAAUUCCUGGUGGAGCGGUGGAAUGCGCAGAUAUCAGGAGGAACACCGGUGGCGAAGGCGGUUCUCUGGACUUUUCCUGACGCUGAGAAGCGAAAGCGUGGGGAGCAAACAGGCUUAGAUACCCUGGUAGUCC